rnacentral:other from 2 species
ACGAUUAUAAAUCAACGCAUUGAUUUAUAAGCAUGGAAAUCCCCUGAGUGAAACAACGAAUUGCUGUGUGUAGUCUUUGCCCGUCUCCCACGAUGGGCUUUUUUUUUA